rnacentral:rRNA from 1 species
AAUAGAUACCCUGGUAGUCCACGCCAUAAACGAUGAGUGCUAAGUGUUAGGGGUUUCCGCCCUUAGUGCUGCAGCUAACGCAUUAAGCACUCCGCCUGGGGAGUACGGUCGCAAGACUGAAACUCAAAGGAAUUGACGGGGGCCCGCACAAGCGGUGGAGCAUGUGGUUUAAUUCGAAGCAACGCGAAGAACCUUACCAGGUCUUGACAUCCCACUGACCGCUAUGGAGACAUAGUUUUCCCUUCGGGGACAGUGGUGACAGGUGGUGCAUGGUUGUCGUCAGCUCGUGUCGUGAGAUGUUGGGUUAAGUCCCGCAACGAGCGCAACCCUUGAUCUUAGUUGCCAUCAUUUAGUUGGGCACUCUAAGGUGACUGCCGGUGACAAACCGGAGGAAGGUGGGGAUGACGUCAAAUCAUCAUGCCCCUUAUGACCUGGGCUACACACGUGCUACAAUGGACGGUACAAACGGUUGCCAACCCGCGAGGGGGAGCUAAUCCGAUAAAACCGUUCUCAGUUCGGAUUGUAGGCUGCAACUCGCCUA